rnacentral:misc_RNA from 1 species
UUUCCGUUGGUGAACCAGCGGAAGGAUCAUUACAGAGAUCAUGCCCCUCGUUGGGUAGACCUCCCACCCUGUGUUAUUUACGAUUGUUGCUUUGGCAGGCCGCCAGCUUGCUGGCGCUCGGCUUCGGCUGAGGUGCGCCUGCCAGAGGACCCCCAACUCUGUGUUUAGUGUUGUCUGAGUACUAAGUUAAUACGUUAAAACUUUCAACAACGGAUCUCUUGGUUCUGGCAUCGAUGAAGAACGCAGC